AAAAUAAAAGCCAUAGUGGUUUAUGUUCUUUUUGACCGAAGCAUAAAAAAGGAAGAAGAAAGAAACAAGUUUAGGGUUCGGCCAUUAGUAAAGCUCAAUCAAGUGACAUCGAUAUGUGACUACAUGUAAGACCACGUCUGAGAAGUUGGCAUUGUACGAUUUGUGUGAUUAUCAGAGUCUCCUAUCCAAUUCCGAAUGAUUCAUCGGGCAAAGAUAAAUUGAGUUCGAAUGUGUAAAAUGAGCUAUAUGCCAGACUUUGGAUUCAAGUUACAAGCUCGGGGAUCGUCAGUAAAGUCUAUCACACCAUCUACAACUUCGGUAUUUAAAUAAUCGAACUCAAAUUAUGGCAUGUAUAGGCUGGAUCAUGUUUUGAAAAGUUGGAUUUUGGUUUUGUAUAAAUUAAGCCAUGCGAAAAUGGCUUAACUUCCAUGCUUUAAUUCGGUUAUGUUUGAUUAUGGUUUAAGUUCAUUUUGGUUAUAUUGCUACGUGUCAUGGAUGAAAGGCAAUUGUGAUAUGUUUUUUAUGCAUUGAAGUUGUUUGAUGA